AAUAUCGCACAAUGGGGGAAACCCUGAUGCAGCGACGCCGCGUGAGCGAAGAAGGCCUUCGGGUCUUAAAGCUCUGUCCUAAGGGAAGAAACGGACGGUACCCUAGGAGGAAGCCCCGGCGCACUACGGGCCACCAGCCGCGGUAAUACGUAGGGAGCGACCGUUAUCCGGAAAUAUGGGGCGUAAAGGGUGCGUAGGCGGCUUUUUAAGUCAGAUGUGAAAGGCUACGGCUUAACCGUAGUUAGCAUUUGAAACUAAAAGGCUUGAGUGCAGGAGAGGAGAGUGGAAUUCCUAGUGUAGCGGUGAAAUGCGUAGAGAUUAGGAGGAACACCAGUGGCGAAGGCGACUCUCUGGACUGCAACUGACGCUGAGGCACGAAAGCGUGGGGAGCGAACA
rnacentral:rRNA from 1 species